rnacentral:rRNA from 1 species
UUGAACGCUGGCGGCAUGCUUUACACCUGCAAGUCGAACGGCAGCGCGGGCUUCGGCCUGGCGGCGAGUGGCGAACGGGUGAGUAAUGCAUCGGAACGUGCCCAGUAGUGGGGGAUAGCCCGGCGAAAGCCGGAUUAAUACCGCAUACGACCUGAGGGUGAAAGCGGGGGACCGAAAGGCCUCGCGCUAUUGGAGCGGCCGAUGUCGGAUUAGCUAGUUGGUGGGGUAAAGGCUUACCAAGGCGACGAUCCGUAGCUGGUCUGAGAGGACGACCAGCCACACUGGGACUGAGACACGGCCCAGACUCCUACGGGAGGCAGCAGUGGGGAAUUUUGGACAAUGGGGGCAACCCUGAUCCAGCCAUGCCGCGUGCGGGAAGAAGGCCUUCGGGUUGUAAACCGCUUUUGUUCGGGAAGAAAUCCUCUGGGCUAAUACCCCGGGGGGAUGACGGUACCGGAAGAAUAAGCACCGGCUAACUACGUG